rnacentral:rRNA from 1 species
GCCAGACUCCUACGGGAGGCAGCAGUGGGGGAUAUUGCACAAUGGGGGGAACCCUGAUGCAGCGACGCCGCGUGAGCGAAGAAGUACCUCGGUAUGUAAAGCUCUAUCAGCAGGGAAGAAAAUGACGGUACCUGACUAAGAAGCCCCGGCUAAAUACGUGCCAGCAGCCGCGGUAAUACGUAUGGGGCAAGCGUUAUCCGGAUUUACUGGGUGUAAAGGGAGCGCAGGCGGCCUGCCAAGUCUGGUGUGAAAACCCGGGGCCCAACCCCGGGCCUGCAUUGGAAACUGGCGGGCUGGAGUUGGAGAGAAGUACGCGGAAUGCGCGGUGUAGCGGUGAAAUGCUUAGAUAUCGCGCAGAACCCCGAUUGCGAAGGCAGCGUACCGGCUCCACACUGACGCUGAGGCACGAAAGCGUGGGUAUCGAACAGGAUUAGAUACCCUUGUA